AACUUCCAUUCUAUCAAUCUCAUUUGGUGUACUGUUCAAAGGAAGAGGCUGCAUAACUUCAUUGUUAUUUAGUAGUUCACGUUCUUCACUUUGUUGACCACCUUCGUUACCAUCACCCAAAACAGUUUCACUUCCAACAGAUGGAGGAACAUCCGGGUGCAGCUGCUCUUGGAUUUCUGUGGUAUUAGUCUCCCUUUCAACAACAGUAUUUACUGGAGCAGAAGCACGCAAGUUGGAAAUAAAAUGUUCUUCUAUCAACUGGGCAAUUGAAGCUGAUAGGCUACUUGGCUGAGGAUGACCUAUAUCAGUCCACCGACUAUCACCAACCCCUCUUCUUGAUGAAUCCAUACCCACAACAGAAUAAUCAGUCAAAG